UGCGCAGCUAACCAUGCAGUCGAGCGGUAACACAAGGGAGCUUGCUCCUGAGGUGAAGAGCGGCGGACGGGUGAGUAACGCGUAGGAAUCUACCUAGUAGUGGGGGACAACAGUUGGAAACGACUGCUAAUACCGCAUACGCCCUACGGGGGAAAGUAUGGGACCUUCGGGCCAUACGCUAUUAGAUGAGCCUGCGUAAGAUUAGCUAGUUGGUGAGGUAAAGGCUCACCAAGGCGACGAUCCCUAGCUGGUUUGAGAGGAUGAUCAGCCACACUGGAACUGAGACACGGUCCAGACUCCUACGGGAGGCAGCAGUGGGGAAUAUUGCGCAAGGGGCGAAAGCCUGACGCAGCCAUACCGCGUGUGUGAAGAAGGCCUUAGGGUUGUAAAGCACUUUCAGCGAGGAGGAAAGGUUAGUAUUUAAUAUAUGCUAGCUGUGACGUUACUCGCAGAAGAAGCACCGGCUAACUUCGUGCCAGCAGCCGCGGUAAUACGAGGGGUGCAAGCGUUAAUCGGAAUUACUGGGCGUAAAGCGUACGCAGGCGGUUUGUUAAGCGAGAUGUGAAAGCCCCGGGCUCAACCUGGGAACUGCAUUUCGAACUGGCAGACUAGAGUGUGAUAGAGGGUGGUAGAAUUUCUCAAGCGUAGCCGAUGAAAUGCGUAGAGAUCGGAAGGAAUACCGCUGGGCGAAGGCGGCCACCGGGACAAUAACUGACGCUCAUGUACGAAAGCGUGGGGAGCAAACGGGAUUAGAUACCCCGGUAGUCCACGCCGUAAACGAUGUCUACUAGGAGCUCGUUGGAAGACUUGAUCUUUUAGUGGCGCAGCUAACGCAAUAAGUUGACCGCCUGGGGAGUACGGAUGGACGGUUAAAACUCAAAUGAAUUGACGGGGGCCCGCACAAGCGGUGGAGCAUGUGGUUUAAUUCGACGCAACGCGAAGAACCUUACCUACUCUUGACAUCCUCAGAACUUAGCAGAGAUGCUUUGGUGCCUUCGGGAACUGAGUGACAGGUGCUGCAUGGCUGUCGUCAGCUCGUGUUGUGAAAUGUUGGGUUAAGUCCCGUAACGAGCGCAACCCUUGUCCUUAUUUGCCAGCACGUAAUGGUGGGAACUUUAAGGAGACUGCCGGUGACAAACCGGAGGAAGGUGGGGACGACGUCAAGUCAUCAUGGCCCUUAUGAGUAGGGCUACACACGUGCUACAAUGGCCGGUACAGAGGGCAGCAAGACCGCGAGGUGGAGCUAAUCUCAGAAAGCCUGUCGUAGUCCGGAUUGGAGUCUGCAACUCGACUCCAUGAAGUCGGAAUCGCUAGUAAUCGUAGAUCAGAAUGCUGCGGUGAAUACGUUCCCGGGCCUUGUACACACCGCCCGUCACACCAUGGGAGUGGGUUGCACCAGAAGUGGUUAGUCUAACCUUCGGGAGGACGAUCACCACGGUGUGAU
rnacentral:rRNA from 1 species